UCUCUUCACUCUCACACAUCAAUCUCCACCUCCACCUCCACCUCCACCUCCACCUUCACCACGUCUCUCUGUCUCUCCGUCUCUCCGAUGGCGAAAGUCGUGCAAACCCUAAAGCGCUACUUCAAGAAGCCGUGGGAAAUAACCGGCCCGUGCGCUUCGCCGGAGUACAAACCGGCCAUCCCGAAGGCGACGGAGUACCGUGUCCCGAGCCCCGCGACGUUCCCGAUCCAGGCGUGCGUGCCGACGUCGAACCCGGAGACGGUGUACGACAUCAAGUAUUUCGUCCGGGACCAGCGGCGCGACCGACCUCCGAUCCGGAAGACGGUGCUGAAGAAGCCGGACGUGGAGAAGAUGAUGAAGGAGAGGACGAGCUUCUCCCCCGAGGAGUUCCCUCUGGUUUACCUGACGGCUAAGGUCGAGGAGGAUGGGAACACAAUUGGCGGUGGUUACCAGAGAUAGAUAAUUUUGGGGAUUCGAAACUAAUAUGGAGGGACGCUGGAAAUGUCUCUGUGUCUGCCCGAGCGCUCACAUCCGUGCGUGAAUGGCUUGAAGAUUUGUGCCAACAGAUUCCAAUGUGCUCGUUGCAGUUGUUAAUUUCCUUCUCCUUGAAGAGCUCCAACUGAUUUAAGUUGAUCAAGCUGUUUUACCUUCAAUAAUGGGAGUUGGUGGGACAGAUUAAGACCGUGGCUACAAUUUUAUUGUUACCCUUUGCUUGUAUAAGAUCCAAACGCAUUUUGCAGUUUGGUCAUCGAUGAUUCAGUCGUUCCAGCUCUGUAAGAUUUUCUGUCCUCUAAAAGUUACCAAUCGGCAAUGCCAGUUCCUUUCCCUGUCUCAUUUUAAUUGAUUAAGUUCCCUAGUAUCAUCUA